UUUUAUGAGAGUUUGAUCCUGGCUCAGGACGAACGCUGGCGGCGUGCCUAAUACAUGCAAGUCGAACGCAUUUUCUUUCACCGUAGCUUGCUACACCGAAAGAAAAUGAGUGGCGAACGGGUGAGUAACACGUGGGUAACCUGCCCAUCAGCGGGGGAUAACACUUGGAAACAGGUGCUAAUACCGCAUAAUUCCAUUUACCGCAUGGUAGAUGGAUGAAAGGCGCUUUUGCGUCACUGAUGGAUGGACCCGCGGUGCAUUAGCUAGUUGGUGGGGUAACGGCCUACCAAGG
rnacentral:rRNA from 1 species